rnacentral:rRNA from 1 species
AUACGUAGGUGACAAGCGUUAUCCGGAUUUACUGGGCGUAAAGGGCGUGUAGGCGGUCUUGCAAGUCAGAAGUGAAAUUCCUGAGCUCAACUCGGGCGCUGCUUCUGAAACUGCAGGUCUUGAGUGCUGGAGGGGAUAGCGGAAUUCCUAGUGGAGCGGUAAAAUGCGCAGAUAUUAGGAAGUACACCGGUGGCGAAGGCGGCUUGGUGGACAUGAAGUGGAUCUGCGGCUCGAUAUUGUGGGGAUAAAACGGCAUAUUUUACCCUGCUAGCCCACGCGGUAAAGGAGGAAUACUAGGUGUAGGGAGUAGCGACUCCCCCUGUGCCUCAGGUAACACAAUAAGUAUCCCGCCUGGGGAGUACGGCCGCAAGGUUGAAACUCAAAUGAAUUGGCGGGU